CGCUGGUCCUCCCCGGCUCCUCCGCGCUGUGUGACCGGGUCAACGAUCACACCUCCGGCUACAGGGUGCAGUGCACAGGAGGUUUAUUGCUAAACAUGGUACCUUGAAGAGAAGAGCCCUAUGACCGUAGAUUCCCUUGCUGAUCAAGCCGAUGGGAACGACGUUCGCCUGAAGCUGAAACUUGAGCUCGCUGAGGUGCAGCACCCACGGGAAUUCAUGCAACCUUUCCAUCUCCACUGCUCCACCCAUGGCUUCACUCACCAGCCUGACACCCAAAUCCAUGCACAGAAAACACAUUAGAGUGCAGGAACCUUCAACAUUUCACAGUGACAGUGCGUGUUGGUUAUGUGCAGACUGCAUUCAUCCGUCACCUUGCCAAGGCAGCACACUGCUCCCGUUCAUCAGUCAGAG